UACCCAGAAGGGAAGCCCUUUCAAAAAUUCUCGACGGCCAAGGCAGAACCAAGGCCGAAGAGGGGGUUUGGAAAUAGUUUUCAACCAGCAAUUGACGCGCCUCGAUUGAGUUGGAGCCAUAUAGCUAGGAACACAAUCCUUAUUGGACUGACAAUGCUGCCAUGAUGAAUAUGGACUUCUUUUGUGAUGGGCUAAAUUGACAUCUUCUGAGCCCAAUGGGGUGUUUAGAUCCAAUUUUACUGUCUUCUCUGAUAUGUCAUCUGUAGUGGACAAUGUAACAUAGGAGCUCUCUUGUGGCAUAACGUGUUUUGAGUAUUGAGAGGGUUGAGAAGCCAUCCAUCUCUCAAGCCAAUUCCAACCUCUUGAAUUUUCAUGUUCAUUGCUAAGAAACUCUUCAUCAUCUUCCUCAA